rnacentral:lncRNA from 1 species
GUUGCUCUGCUGCAUGAGAGGGCACACCAUACCACGUCUUUGGCUCUCCCCAAUGCAGGUAGUUGAUGGAAUAGCUCCAGUGGUCUUCAAUAUGCCAGCAAAAUGAGGAGAAGCACAUCCCCACAUACAGCCAAGGUACCUUCAUGCCAGAGAUAUCUGCAUUAAUGUGAGCAAGGACUGAUUGUUCUAGAAUUGGCAUGUUAUUCAAAUUCCAACCAGAAAGUGCAUAAUCCUCCUCCUCUGGCAUCAGCUUUCGUCGGCCAUCUUUCACCGGAAAGCCACUUCCAAAGUCCUUGGAUGAUAUAUCAGCUCCAUAUUCUACAAUAACAUCUUCUUCUAUGCUGCUUACCAAUCUCCAGAAUUCUUUCUCUACCAG